rnacentral:lncRNA from 10 species
AAAACCUUGUCUCUACAAAAAAUACCAAAAUUAGUUGGGCAUGGUGGUGCAUGCCUGUGGUCCCAGCUACUUGGGAGGCUGAGGUGGGAGAAUCACUUGAGCCCAGGAGGUUGAGGCUUCGGUGAGCCAAGAUCAUAACACUGCACUCUGGCCUGGGCAACAAAGUGAGACCCUGUCUCAAAAAAAAAGAAAAAAGAAAAGAAAAAAGGAAAAGAAAUGAAAAAGACUUAAUAAAACUAUCAUCUCUCUUGUUUAGGUGUUUUACCUUCUCUUAAUGCAGCUUAGAGAACAUCAGAAGUUUUGAAAGUCAGAUCAUCCUGAUGGCUGCUUGCAUUUACUGAAUGUCAGCACCAGCUUUAUGAUGGGGAGGAGACGGAUCACUCUUUUCUGCUCCUACAUUGUUCUCAUGAGCAACUCAAAUUACAGUUUGAUAAAAACUAAAUGUUGGAAACUCAUCUAUUUGACACGGAGGGACAAUACCUGCAAAUGAACACCAGGAAAGAAGCAUUCUUCUUCCCCUCUGAGUAUUCACAGCCAGGCCUGCAGUAGAAGGAUAUUCCAGUAGAUGCCAGAAUGUUCAUUUCAGUGGCUACAUACGCCUCAUUUGCCACAGGGUCCACAUCAGACCUGUGAGUACUGGCAGCCCAGGAACAGCGGCAGCUGCAUUGAAAGUGAGCCCACCUCGUGAACAAUGGUUUCCUUCCCUUGCCCUUUCCUUUUCCUUUUUCCUUUCCUUGCCUCUCCUUUUCUUUUCUCUUAUUCAUCAUACAAUAGUAAUCAGGACUGAUUGCUUGCAGACCGAGUAAGUCUUGUGGUAAGAAAUCGACAGGUUAAUGGAAGGAAUAGGAGAUCAGGGAGAGAGAAUGCUAACUUGGUAUUUCAGGAGUCUAUCUGAGUCAACUUUCACACCCAAAAUGUUAAAAAUGGACCAUUUGACUUAUAAAGAAAAUGUUAAAACCCUCUGGGGAAAAUGGUGGCCUGAAACAAUUGGCACAUUGCAAAUAAUGCAACUUUUAAUGCUGAAGGAAAGAAGCUGUUCUUUCGAGUCUGAAGACUUGAUUCUAUUCUUACAUAUGACAAACUCUAACAAUGGAUGACCUUAAAGUUUUGAUAUUUUACCUAUGGUUCUCAUUUAAAACAGAAAAAAAUCAUUACCGGAUAAUAAGUCAGACUGUUUUCUUAUCUGCCUUGAUCAAGAAAAGUUAGAUGUUGUCAGUGUCUUUGAAAGUUCUGCUAGGAAGCAAGAUAUUCCCAGCAGUUUACUUGAGCAAAUGGCUUCCGUUUAGCCUAACGGUUUCUUAGGUUUCACUUUUAAAUCCUGUGUUAAACAGAGCAAGUCACUGUCAUUCAAACUUUUCCCAAGCUGUAUGGGGCUCUAUUGCUGUUGUUUAACGAAAUUCAGAGGCUAGUGUAAUUAGACCGCAGGGAAGGUAGGUCAGGCAGUGCUGUUAACUUGGCUGGCAAAGUUGAUGGGUCAAAAAUGUUUUAUGUUUUUCUUCUUUUUUCGCACUAAAUAAACUCGGUGUAAAAAUGUUUUGCUUAUAGUGCUCUUCUAUUCAUUUAACAUAAACAUUUGUGUAUUUUAAUUCUGUCUGUUCUAAAAUUCUAAUUUCUUCUAUAAAUUAAUCAAAUAUGAAAUCUAAGCCAGCAAAGUAUGUUAGAGGAACAGUGAGUCAAGUUUUAUAAAAAUUAGGCAGGUAUGGAACAGAGCUUUAAAACUGUAUGAUAUUUGGAGGGAAUGGAGUAAGAAACAGAAACCAGUUUUCUGAAGGGUAUUUAUUGUUAUUAUUAUUAAAUAAACACAUUAUUGCGUGUUCUGUGAGCAGUUCUUUCUUGAUAGGAAUACUGACAAUACCUGUUAUAUUAUUAUGAAAUUAAACUUAUCUCUUUUCAAAAAUAAAUUCACACACCGUGACCCCAAAGUGUGAAGGAUCACAAGAUGUGUGACAAAGAAUGCAUUCAGCAAGGACUGGUAAAGUGCUGGAAACCCCAAGGGACGUGAGUUAUAUUUCAUGGAACUGAGUCUAGGAUUUGGAAAUUAUUUUGCAAUUAUUUAUUGUUGGUCUCGAGAGUGUACGUUUCAUGUAUUUCUUCCUUUUUACCCAGAAUGUAAUUUUGCUUGGUGGUGACCAUGUGAGAAAAAUAGCACUGUGGGAAGC